GGAGCAGUAGUCUGUUAUGGCGAAUAUGAUUUUAUAAACGUUGAAGCGGAGGGGUGGGGGCAGGGACUCUUCUAGGGGAUGCAAAAGCUUUAACUGGCAGCUAGUUAAGUGUGCACAGGAGCGGGUGACAUGUUUCAGCGGUUAAAUGGAAUAAGCAGAGGUCUUAAUGGUGAGUUGCAGUUUGGUGGAAUAAACAGAGGUCCUAACGGUUGGACCUCAGAAUCCUUCUGAUCUCCUCCUCCUGUUUCUUAGAGACCCGUGGAAUUGGUUUUGGCUCAAUGUUCCUGGGGGGAGACGGAUCACAAGUAAGCCCAAACUACCAUCACAACUAAAGGACACGAAAGAUUAAAAAAGUAAAACAUAGGAGCCAGUACAUACUGCAUGGAGACGGUAGAGGGAAGGGAAGAUGACAGCUGGCCACUCUCCACCAUCAUAAUGG